AGCGAGAGGGGCGGCGGCAGGGGGGGGGGUUCCGCCUCUUCUCCUUCAGUAUUAAUGUCGCAUCGACGGAACUGAGGCUCCCUGAUUAAUCUUGCUCACAUACCUACAAAGGCACGCACGUUAGGGCGCGUGGACCAGUCAGACGGCCGUGCUGCCGUUGCCGCCGCCGCCGCCGCCGCUCUUGGCGCGCACACGGAUCGCACACGCCGCCGCCACCGCCGCUGAAGUGCUUCCUUCUCCCACAUCCCAGGAUUAGCCGCCUGCGCCGCCGCCUCUGCCUCUCUCUUGCAUCCUCCCCCCCCUCGUCAUGUUUUGACUUCUGCCUUGCCUUGGGUGCUUCUGGGCUCCGAUUUGCUUGCCUGCUUCUCGUCUCCACGGGGAAGGGGCCGAAAGAAAGAACAUCUAAGAAUCAAAUGUCAUCUACAUUAAGGAUUCCAUGCACUUUUCGCCUUUUAAACAUUCAGCAAAUGAAAAUGAAAAACUGAUUGAGGUAAUAAGAUGUCCUUUCCCUUACAUCUUCCCACGACAUGUUGAAUAAUUUUGUUACACAUCAUUUUUUGAAGAUGAGGGGAUAGAGGCUGCCUGGAAAAAGCACAAAUGGAAGCUGCCUGAUAGAUGCGGUGGGCAGAUGUAAAAGGAGAUUAAGGCGACCAAGACCAUUAUUUUGGCAUCAUCACUCUUGUAAUCACAGUUUUGUAUAAUCUGUAGUUUAGGUUUACCUUCCUUCAAUUGACAUUUGAUCAUUUCUUAUUAUUAUUCAUGUCAUGGAUCACUGUUAGAUAAGGCCAGUGUUUGCUGUUCCUCUCACUGAUGUUUUCUGUGGUUUUGUGAUGCUGUCACCUGUGGCUUCAUUUGCCUGUGGAAAAACUACCAGGUUCACAAAGUGUAAUUAUUUCAAUUUGAUUUUAUGCCCCUAUACAAAUUAAGUCCCUCAAUGAGAGAGGACAUUUUAGUUUUAUAUGCAUUGUGUUUUUCCUUCAACCAAUAAAAAC
rnacentral:lncRNA from 1 species